rnacentral:rRNA from 1 species
GUGUCAGCCGCCGCGGUAAAACGUAGGAUCCGAGCGUUAUCCGAAUUCACUGGGCGUAAAGCGCGAGUAGGCGGCCGGAUAAGUUGGAUGUAAAAUCUCCCGGCUCAACUGGGAGAGGACGUACAAGACUGUUUGGCUAGAGGGCGAUAGAGGGAGGCGGAAUUCCCGGUGUAGUGGUGAAAUGCGUAGAUAUCGGGAGGAACACCAGAGGCGAAGGCGGCUUCCUGGAUCGUACCUGACGCUGAGAUGCGAAAGCUAGGGGAGCAAACGGGAUUAGAAACCCCGGUAGUCCUAGCCGUAAACGAUGUGGACUUGGCGUGGGUGGAGUAAAACCCAUCCGUGCCGGAGCAAACGCGAUAAGUCCACCGCCUGGGGACUACGGCCGCAAGGUUAAA